rnacentral:lncRNA from 1 species
UAUGAAAAAAACUAAUUUAGAAAGAAAACUUCAAUGAGAUUGUGUUGCAGUGUGACAAGGGAAGGAAAGCAGGUUGGAAACAGGCCCCUAUACUGCUGGGUGCAGCAAGGACAGGAAUUAAACCCGGAGCACAUGGAGCCCAUGCUGGGAUCUGCAGAACCCAAGCUUGGCCAAAAGGAUAUUGUUUGACCAGUUUUGAGUUUACUUAGCUCAGGCAGUGAAACUUGUCUGGCCAGAUUGUUUCUGUGUGCCCAUCAUGUAGAGGUUUGUACGCUUUAGAAUUGAAAGACACAGCUUAGAGGAGCGCUGUUUCAGCAGCACAGAGACAUUCCCUCAACCAGGAGAACUGGGUCUCUAAUUUCUGUGUGCUUCACUAUAGAUCUGCAUUUUCCAGGGAUUCUCCAUGAAAGAUGUGCCUCUGAAAAUCGGACUCUGUUAAGGUGUUUUGGUGGCAGAAGCUGGCAGCGCUCCCACUGGUCUUGAACUCCAUGGUUCAGCAGAGCAGCAGCUGUCUGGUGUGCUCCUUUUUAUGGAUUUUGUGGCUGGCCCAGUUCUGACCUCCUCAGCUAAAGCUGGACCUGAAUCAGGGAUGAUAUUUUGGCUGCACUCACUUGCACCUUUGUGGAGGAUGCUGCAUGAUGUGAUAAACACCUGUGGGCUGUAUGGGGGCACAGAGAGUGUUGGCAGAACUCAGGCUGCUUCUAAGCAAAAAUUUCUGCUAUGGUAUGUUUUCUGUUGCAGAGGAUCUUGAAAUAAAUAAAUACAGUGUUGUCUGUGAGAUGGGGCAGCAGCUGAGCUGCAAUGCAGCUGCAGGAAGAUGUGCAGGCAGCAGAGCCCCAGAGUGACAAAGACUGAGCAUCAGCUGAAGAAGCCACAUCUGUCCUCACCAGAGCCCGUUCUGCUUCUCCUGCUCGCUGCCACAGCCCCAUGGGGAGGAGAGCUGGCAGCUGGCCGGACCACCUCACAUCUUGCAGUGCAGCCUGGCCCUCUAAGAGUUGCAGCCUCACACUUGCAAGCAGGAGGCAGCGGCACUCCAACAUCCUCCACUGUCACCUGUCUGCUUCCCAUUGGUUUGCAGCAGCGCACACCGCUCCAGGAUGGGCACAAGGGGAUCAGCACUGAAAUCGCUGAUCCUCCUCCCAGGGCACUUUCAAGAAAACACUGCAAGAGCAGUGUGAG